rnacentral:rRNA from 1 species
AAUAGAUACCCGGGUAGUCCACGCCGUAAACGAUGAGUGCUAAGUGUUAGAGGGUUUCCGCCCUUUAGUGCUGCAGCUAACGCAUUAAGCACUCCGCCUGGGGAGUACGGCCGCAAGGCUGAAACUCAAAGGAAUUGACGGGGGCCCGCACAAGCGGUGGAGCAUGUGGUUUAAUUCGAAGCAACGCGAAGAACCUUACCAGGUCUUGACAUCCUCUGCCAACCCUAGAGAUAGGGCGUUCCCCCUUCGGGGGACAGAGUGACAGGUGGUGCAUGGUUGUCGUCAGCUCGUGUUGUGAGAUGUUGGGUUAAGUCCCGCAACGAGCGCAACCCUUAAUCUUAGUUGCCAGCAUUCAGUUGGGCACUCUAAGGUGGCUGCCGGUGACAAACCGGAGGAAGGUGGGGAUGACGUCAAAUCAUCAUGCCCCUUAUGACCUGGGCUACACACGUGCUACAAUGGAUGGUACAAAGAGCUGCGAACCCGCGAGGGUAAGCGAAUCUCAUAAAGCCAUUCUCAGUUCGGA